ACUAUUGGAAACGAUAGCUAAUACCGCAUAAGAGUAGAUGUUGCAUGACAUUUGCUUAAAAGGUGCAAUUGCAUCACUACCAGAUGGACCUGCGUUGUAUUAGCUAGUUGGUGGGGUAACGGCUCACCAAGGCGACGAUACAUAGCCGACCUGAGAGGGUGAUCGGCCACACUGGGACUGAGACACGGCCCAG
rnacentral:rRNA from 1 species